rnacentral:rRNA from 1 species
AUUGAACGCUGGCGGCAGGCCCAACACAUGCAAGUCGAGCGGCAGCGGGAAAGUAGCUUGCUACUUUUGCCGGCGAGCGGCGGACAGGUGAGUAAUGCCUGGGGAUCUGCCCAGUCGAGGGGGAUAACUACUGGAAACGGUAGCUAAUACCGCAUACGCCCUACGGGGAAAGCAGGGGACCUUCGGGCCUUGCGCGAUUGGAUGAACCCAGGUGGGAUUAGGUAGUUGGUGAGGUAAUGGCUCACCAAGGCGACGAUCCCUAGCUGGUCUGAGGGGAUGAUCAGCCACACUGGAACGGAGACGCGGUCCAGACUCCUACGGGAGGCAGGAGUGGGGAAUAUUGCACAAUGGGGGAAACCCUGAUGCAGCCAUGCCGCGUGGGUGAAGAAAGCCUUCGGGUUGUAAAGCACUUUCAGCGAGGAGGAAAGGUUGGUAGCUAAUAACUGCCAGCUGUGACGUUACUCGCAGAAGAAGCACCGGCUAACUCCGUGCCAGCAGCCGCCGUAA